rnacentral:lncRNA from 10 species
CUGAAAUCUACUGCCUCUUCUUAUUGGAACACCAGCUGGAUGGUAUUUCCCUUCCUCCCUUGUAGGUAGCUGUCACCCUGUGACUGAGAUCUCCUUAACAGAAUGAGAGGAAAAAAGAAAAUUCAUGCUACUUUCAGUCUGGUCCAUUACAAGUUCCCAUAGUGCUCCUCCAUGCUGUUUCCCCUUCUACUUGGUGGAUGCGGAUGACUAUGAAACCCUAGCAUAUGGGAGAGCCACUGAUGGAAA